CUCAGAUUGAACGCUGGCGGAAUGCUUUACACAUGCAAGUCGAGCGGCAGCACGGGGGCAACCCUGGUGGCGAGCGGCGAACGGGGGAGUAAUACAUCGGAACGUACCCUGAAGUGGGGGAUAACGUAGCGAAAGUUACGCUAAUACCGCAUAUUCUGUGAGCAGGAAAGAGGGGGAUCGCAAGACCUCUUGCUUUAGGAGCGGCCGAUGUCGGAUUAGCUAGUUGGUGAGGUAAAGGCUCACCAGGGCGACGAUCCGUAGCGGGUCUGAGAGGAUGAUCCGCCACACUGGGACUGAGACACGGCCCAGACUCCUACGGGAGGCAGCAGUGGGGAAUUUUGGACAAUGGGCGCAAGCCUGAUCCAGCCAUGCCGCGUGAGUGAAGAAGGCCUUCGGGUUGUAAAGCUCUUUCGGUGGGGAAGAAAUUGCUUCGGUUAAUACCUGGAGUAGAUGACGGUACCCGCAUAAGAAGCACCGGCUAACUACGUG
rnacentral:rRNA from 1 species